UUUUCUUAAAUUUAAAAUUAAAAUAAGUGUUGGCAGCUUCAUACAUUUGUGUAUUAUUCUCCCUAAGAUAUGAUUUGUGGAGAGAGAACUACUCUUGAGUGCAGUAAGUGAGAAGAUAUGAACGAAUUCUAGAGUUAAUUGAAAUAAGUUAUACAUAACUAUUCUAGUGUUUAUAUCCAUGCUUUUGAUUGAUGAUUAAAAAGGAGUUUAUCUGGUGGGGGUGGGAGCUACGAACAAUUUGCUGCUUUCAGUUUACAACUGAAUCAAUGUUGUAAAUAGAGAAAAUUAAAUAGAAGAAAAGCAUAGCUUAACGAAAAGCUUUUGAAGAUGCAUAUACUCACAAUCAUGUUCUUACAUACUUUUGGUUGUUGUGCUUGCAAGAAGGACAUACAAAAUUGGAGGUUGUGAUUUGAGCAGCACUGCUCCUCCUUGUACCAGGUAGAUUGAAAUGAUGGCUCAUGUUUUCUCAAGAGCUGCAUGGCAUUGCAUGUGGUAUAUGAUCCAAGUGGAUUGAAAUGAUGGCUCCCGGAUUAGUAAUAUGUAAUUCUAGGAUGGUAGCUUGCUUAGAAUCUUCGUUAGCUUGGGUACUAGUAGUGUUUUUUUGUUUCAGUAAAAACUAGUGGUCUCUUUUGUAACUUCCUAUUGAUUCUAAAAUUUUUUCUCUUAUGUAAUAAUAUGUAAAGCAAGUAGAUAAUGUAA